GCCCAGGUGGUGGAAUUGGGAGACAAGGGGCUUAAAUCCCUCGAAGGCAACUUUGUGCCGGUUCAAGUCCGGGUCUGGGCACCA
rnacentral:tRNA from 1 species